rnacentral:rRNA from 1 species
UACGUAGGUGGCAAGCGUUGUCCGGAAUUACUGGGUGUAAAGGGUGCGUAGGCGGGUAUGUAAGUCAGGUGUGAAAUUCCGAGGCUCAACUUCGGAACUGCAUUUGAAACUACAUAUCUUGAGUGAAGGAGAGGUAAGUGGAAUUCCCAGUGUAGCGGUGAAAUGCGUAGAUAUUGGGAGGAACACCAGUGGCGAAGGCGACUUACUGGACUUUAACUGACGCUGAUGCACGAAAGCGUGGGUAGCAAACAGG